rnacentral:lncRNA from 1 species
GGUCACUGAGAGGUAGAUGGCUUAGCAAUGGGCCCCUUCUUAUUUCCAAUGGGCCAUACAGUGCCGUUUGGAAAGAGGGGGUGAUGGAGAGGAAGUUAUAGCAUUUUGCACAAUACUGUGGAAGACAGUCUCCACUGUGCAAGAGAAGAACCUUUCAAAUAUGAGACAGGUCUUCCUUUUCAGCAUCUAUAAAACGGAGGAGGGCUCCAUGGACUUCCAGCUU